AUUGAACGCUGGCGGCGUGCCUAACACAUGCAAGUCGAGCGGUAACAGGUGUAGCAAUACAUGCUGACGAGCGGCGAACGGGUGAGUAAUGCUUCGGAAUCUGCCCAUGUAGUGGGGAAUAACCAGCCGAAAGGUUGGCUAAUACCGCAUACGACCCUUGCCCACAAGGCAAAGGUGAAAGCAGGGGAUCGCAAGACCUUGCGCUAUUGGAUGAGCCGAAGUCGGAUUAGCUAGUUGGUAGGGUAACGGCCUACCAAAGGCGACGAUCCGUAGCUGGUCUGAGAGGACGACCAGCCACACCGGAACUGAGACACGUCCGGACUCCUACGGAGGCAGCAGUGGGGAAUAAUUGGACAAU
rnacentral:rRNA from 1 species